GACGAACGCUGGCGGCGUGCUUAACACAUGCAAGUCGAGCGGUAAGGCCCUUUCGGGGUACACGAGCGGCGAACGGGUGAGUAACACGUGGGUGACCUGCCCUCAGCUCUGGGAUAAGCCUGGGAAACUGGGUCUAAUACUGGAUAUGACUCCACGGUGCAUGUCGUGGGGUGGAAAGCCUUGUGCGGCUGAGGAUGGGCCCGCGGCCUAUCAGCUUGUUGGUGGGGUGAGGCCUACCAAGGCGACGACGGGUAGCCGGCCUGAGAGGGCGACCGGCCACACUGGGACUGAGACACGGCCCAGACUCCUACGGGAGGCAGCAGUGGGGAAUCUUGCGCAAUGGGCGAAAGCCUGACGCAGCGACGCCGCGUGAGGGAUGACGGCC
rnacentral:rRNA from 1 species